GGUAAUGGAGCCACUAAUAC
rnacentral:siRNA from 1 species